rnacentral:rRNA from 1 species
GAUGAACGCUGGCGGCGUGCCUAAUACAUGCAAGUCGAGCGAACGGACGAGAAGCUUGCUUCUCUGAUGUUAGCGGCGGACGGGUGAGUAACACGUGGAUAACCUACCUAUAAGACUGGGAUAACUUCGGGAAACCGGAGCUAAUACCGGAUAAUAUUUUGAACCGCAUGGUUCAAAAGUGAAAGACGGUCUUGCUGUCACUUAUAGAUGGAUCCGCGCUGCAUUAGCUAGUUGGUAAGGUAACGGCUUACCAAGGCAACGAUGCAUAGCCGACCUGAGAGGGUCAUCGGCCACACUGGGACUGAGACACGGUCCAGACUCCUACGGGAGGCAGCAGUAGGGAAUCUUCCGCAAUGGGCGAAAGCCUGACGGAGCAACGCCGCGUGAGUGAUGAAGGUCUUCGGAUCGUAAAACUCUGUUAUUAGGGAAGAACAUAUGUGUAAGUAACUGUGCACAUCUUGACGGUACCUAAUCAGAAAGCCACGGCUAACUACGUG